AGGGGUUUUUGCCAUACACACGGCACAGAUUUUUUUGAUUAUGUAGAUUUUUUUUUUUUUUUCCCCCUAUUGCAGUUUCAUAUGCAAAGCAUGCAUCAGCCACAUCCAUGCUAUCUCCUAAAGCAGUCAUUCUGAAACCCAAUCUGGGGACAGUGCAGACUAAAUAAAAUUUCAUUUUGAUUUGGCCUCCCGCUGAGAAUGGGACUGCUUUGUUUCAGCCGACAGAACCAGCAAGCCAGAAAGGGUCAUUGUGGUGGAGGAAAUAUUUUUAUCCAGGCCUCAGGAAAUGGUGGUCUGGCUUGCAACUGCAGCAGUGCGGAUAGUUACAUGAAUAGUAUUUACUUGGGGCAAAACAUGCCAUCACUUAUCUCUCCCCCAAAACUCCUGGACUACAAGAACUAAUCAAUGUCAAUGGCCACCUGGAAAUAUCCAGUGAGGAAGGACUGUGGAAGCUACUACCCUGAAACGACCCUUUGAAUCUGAAGUGAGGAAAUGGCUUAAGCACUGAGAUAAAGGAAUUCUGGACUGAACAUCAUCUUCUGAAGUUACACCACCUUUUCUAAGUACCUAGAUACACAUUGGGAUACUGCGAGCAAAUGCAGAUGGACUUUAAAAUGUUC